UACGGAAGGCAGCAGUGGGGAAUAUUGCACAAUGGGCGAAAGCCUGAUGCAGCUAUGCCGCGUGUAUGAAGAAGGCCUUAGGGUUGUAAAGUACUUUCAUCGGGGAGGAAAAACAAAACUAAUAAUUUUAUUUCUUGACGUUACCCGAAAAAGAAGCACCGGCUAACUCCGUGCCAGCAGCCGCGGUAAUACGGAGGGUGCUAGCGUUAAUCAGAAUUACUGGGCGUAAAGAGCACGUAGGUGGUUUUUUUAAGUCAGAUGUGAAAUCCCUGGGCUUAACCUAGGAACUGCAUUUUGAAACUGAAAUACUAGAGUAUCGUAGAGGGAGGUAGAAUUCUAGGUGUAGCGGUGAAAUGCGUAGAUAUCUGGAGGAAUACCUGUGGCGAAAGACGGCCUCCUAAACGAAUACUGACACUGAGGUGCGAAAGCGUGGGGAGCAAACAGGGAUUAGAUACC
rnacentral:rRNA from 1 species